rnacentral:rRNA from 1 species
CGCACGGGUGAGUAACACGUAUCCAACCUGCCGUCUACUCUUGGCCAGCCUUCUGAAGGAAGAUUAAUCCAGGAUGGCAUCAUGAGUUCACAUGUCCGCAUGAUUAAAGGUAUUUUCCGGUAGACGAUGGGGAUGCGUUCCAUUAGAUAGUAGGCGGGGUAACGGCCCACCUAGUCAACGAUGGAUAGGGGUUCUGAGAGGAAGGUCCCCCACAUUGGAACUGAGACACGGUCCAA